UCCCUGGUGGCUCAGUUGGUUAAGAAUCUGCCUGCAAUGCAGGAGACCUGGGUUCGAUCCCUAGGUUGGGAA
rnacentral:tRNA from 1 species